UACGUAGGGUGCAAGCGUUUGUCCGGAAUUAUUGGGCGUAAAGAGCUCGUAGGCGGUCUGUCGCGUCUGCUGUGAAAACUCAGGGCUUAACCCUGAGCUUGCAGUGGGUACGGGCAGACUAGAGUGCGGUAGGGGAGACUGGAAUUCCUGGUGUAGCGGUGAAAUGCGCAGAUAUCAGGGAGGGAACACCCGGUGGGCGAAAGGCGGGGUCUCUGGGCCGUAACUGACGCUGGAGGAGCGAAAGCAUCGGGGAGCGAACAGG
rnacentral:rRNA from 1 species